GAUGAACGCUGGCGGCGUGCCUAAUACAUGCCAGUCGAGCGAACAGACGAGGAGCUUGCUCCUCUGACGUUAGCGGCGGACGGGUGAGUAACACGUGGAUAACCUACCUAUAAGACUGGGAUAACUUCGGGAAACCGGAGCUAAUACCGGAUAAUAUAUUGAACCGCAUGGUUCAAUAGUGAAAGACGGUUUUGCUGUCACUUAUAGAUGGAUCCGCGCCGCAUUAGCUAGUUGGUAAGGUAACGGCUUACCAAGGCGACGAUGCGUAGCCGACCUGAGAGGGUGAUCGGCCACACGGGAACUGAGACACGGUCCAGACUCCUACGGGAGGCAGCAGUAGGGAAUCUUCCGCAAUGGGCGAAAGCCUGACGGAGCAACGCCGCGUGAGUGAUGAAGGUCUUCGGAUCGUAAAACUCUGUUAUUAGGGAAGAACAAAUGUGUAAGUAACUAUGCACGUCUUGACGGUACCUAAUCAGAAAGCCACGGCUAACUACGU
rnacentral:rRNA from 1 species